UGGGCAUGCGUGACAUUAGCUAGUGUAAGUAACGCUUACCAAGGCUGCGAUGUCUAGGGGUCGAGAGGAUGAUCCCCACAUGUACUGAGACACGGACCAGACUCUACGGAGGCAGCAGUGAGGAAUAUGUCAUGGGCGCAAGCUGAACCAGCAUCCCGCGUGAGGAGACUGCCCUAUGGGUGUAAACUUCUUUUCUGCACAAGAAUGGUUACUACGUGUAGUGAUUUGACGGUAGUGCAGGAAUAAGCAUCGGCUAACUCCGUGCCAGCAGCCGCGGUAAUACGGAGGAUGCAAGCGUUAUCCGGAUUCAUUGGGUUUAAAGGGUACGUAGGUGGCCAAUUAAGUCAGUGGUGAAAUCCUGCCGCUUAACGGUAGAACUGCCAUUGAAACUGGUUGGCUUGAGUACAGUUGAGGUAGGCGGAAUGUGUAGUGUAGCGGUGAAAUGCUUAGAUAUUACACAGAACCCCGAUUGCGAAGGCAGCUUACUAAACUGUAACUGACACUGAGGUACGAAAGCGUGGGGAGCGAACAGGAUUAGAUACCCUGGUAGUCCACGCUGUAAACGAUGCUCACUCGCUGUAUGCGAUACAUUGUAUGCGGCCAAGCGAAAGUCUUAAGUGAGCCACCUGGGGAGUACGUUGGCAACAGUGAAACUCAAAGGAAUUGACGGGGGCCCGCACAAGCGGAGGAACAUGUGGUUUAAUUCGAUGAUACGCGAGGAACCUUACCUGGGCUUAAAUGCAGAUUGACAGACGUCGAAAGAUGUUUUUCUUCGGACAGUUUGCAAGGUGCUGCAUGGUUGUCGUCAGCUCGUGCCGUGAGGUGUCGGGUUAAGUCCCAUAACGAGCGCAACCCUUACCGUUAGUUACCAUCAGUUAGGCUGGGGACUCUAGCGGGACUGCCACCGUAAGGUGAGAGGAAGGUGGGGAUGACGUCAAAUCAGCACGGCCCUUAUGUCCAGGGCUACACACGUGUUACAAUGGCCAGUACAAAGGGCAGCUACCUGGUGACAGGAUGCUAAUCUCUAAAGCUGGUCUCAGUUCGGAUCGAAGUCUGCAACCCGACUUCGUGAAGCUGGAUUCGCUAGUAAUCGCGCAUCAGCCAUGGCGCGGUGAAUACGUUCCCGGGCCUUGUACACACCGCCCGUCAAACCAUGGAAGCUGGGGUACUGAGUCU
rnacentral:rRNA from 1 species